UACGUAGGUGACAAGCGUUGUCCGGAUUUACUGGGCGUAAAGAGCGCGCAGGCGGUCGAUCAAGUCGAGUGUGAAAGCCCCCGGCUCAACUGGGGAGGGUCAUUCGAUACUGAUCGACUCGAAGGCAGGAGAGGGUAGUGGAAUUCCCGGUGUAGUGGUGAAAUGCGUAGAUAUCGGGAGGAACACCGGUGGCGAAGGCGGCAUCCUGGACCGAGAUUGACGCUGAGGCGCGAAAGCCAGGGGAGCAAACGGG
rnacentral:rRNA from 1 species